CUGACGUUAGCGGCGGACGGGUGAGUAACACGUGGGUAACCUACCUAUAAGACUGGGAUAACUCCGGGAAACCGGGGCUAAUACCGGAUAAUACAUGAAACCGCAUGGUUUCAUGAUGAAAGACGGUUUUGCUGUCACUUAUAGAUGGACCCGCGGCGUAUUAGCUAGUUGGUAAGGUAACGGCUUACCAAGGCAACGAUACGUAGCCGACCUGAGAGGGUGAUCGGCCACACUGGAACUGAGACACGGUCCAGACUCCUACGGGAGGCAGCAGCG
rnacentral:rRNA from 1 species